GUCUCCGAGCGUGGACGCCCUAGGCUAGCGGCGGCCAGGGAAAAGGCGGCGGCCAGGGCGUGGGUCUCUGCGGACCAGGUUGGCAGUCAGUAAAAGCGCAGACAUAUAGAAGUUAUGGAAACAAACUUGUCCUUACUAAGCUCUUCCAGAAUGGACGGAUUCCCCCUCACAUCAAUAUAGCUUCCCUCUCACAUGAAUUCACCAAGCGUUGGAUUGUUCACCCACUAAUAGGGAACGUGAGCUGGGUUUAGACCGUCGUGAGACAGAAGAGGGCAUCAGAUACUACAACCUGGCCAUCAGCCCCCCCCCCCAUGCCUGCUUUCUCUCCGUGGACCCCACUUUUCUGUCUCCUCCUCUGCACAGCAUCUCAAUGAAUUAGCCUGAGAGCUGUACCCAAUAAACCUGCCUUUAUAUACUUUA
rnacentral:lncRNA from 1 species